rnacentral:rRNA from 1 species
GACGUAGGGGGCCAGCGUUGUUCGGAAUUACUGGGUGUAGAGGGUUCGUAGGCGGUGUAGCAAGUCGGGAGUGAAAUCUCUGGGCUUAACCCAGAGGCUGCUUCCGAAACUGCUGUGCUGGAGUGUGGGAGAGGCGCGUGGAAUUGCAGGUGUAGCGGUGAAAUGUGUAGAUAUCUGCAGGAACACCCGUGGCGAAGGCGGCGCGCUGGACCACUAUUGACGCUGAGGAACGAAAGCUAGGGGAG